rnacentral:lncRNA from 1 species
CUGUCCCCAGAAGCAUGGAAACAUGGCAGACGGAACGUAAAUGGACAAAAGGAGACAAAAGCUGUGGAGAAGAGAUUACAGAACUCGCAGAUACCAUAUACUGAGUUACAGAAGAGUGACCAGCUUUGUCACCUUGACACUACCUGGAAUCACCUGGGAAGAGUAUCAGCGAGAGACUGUCUACAGUGGGUUGAUGUGCUUGAUGUAACCGGCCGCCUCCUGCUCCAGCUCCCAAGCCUUUGCCGCCAUGAUGGGCCACGCCCUCAACCUCGAGCAAAAAAAUAAACCUUCCUUCCAUUGCCUUUUGUGAGGUAUUUGAUCACAGCAAUGAAAAGAGAAACCAAUUCAGCAUUUUUUUCACUCGCAAACAGAAAGGCCCUCGUGGAUACAGAAGCACCUCUCAUCAAAUGACCCAUUAUCGUCAUGCCAGGCAAAUGAGAGGUGGCCGGCAAUGACAACAGGCAAAACCACAAGGAGAAAACCGGAGGUCCAACCGCGGGAAGCUAGGCCUGGUGGCUACCCGUUCAGCACAGAUUCGAAUAUUGCUUCCAGACUUUCAAGUUCUGCAUCUCUGAGGACGUUAACUAAUCUCUCAGGGCCUCUGUCUCCUCCUCUGUGAAAUGGGGUUAGCUAUGCCAGCCUUCAGGUUUGGGGACCAGCAAGGACACCUGUGGUGCCUGAGUCCUGAGCUCCUAGGGGGAGGGGGGUCCGGUUGACAGGACAGUAGCCUCCUGAAUCCGUCCCCUUCCUAUCCUCAGGGAAAGCUGACUCUCCAGGGGAAAUCGGCUUGCCUGGGGUCAGGCCAGGCCCCAGGGUUCCAGUUUAUGACUCUGGCCACCACUUAAGACUGCAGUCCGCUGCAGUUUCCUUCUCAUAGGUCAGUUAGCGUGUGGGGAAGUGGGGUGCGUUUAAAUACAGUCUUUCCCAGCAUCUGUCUGUCCUGUCCCUAGAUCAGGGACAUGCAUAGAAAAGACAGGAGCUGCCUCUCUCUGUACCUCUCUUCCUCCCUCCUACCCACCCUUUCUCUCCCACGAUGCUCAAAUACAGCUCAGUUCCCUUCCGCUGGGACAGUGGGGAGUCAGAUGAUCCAAAUAGAAUGAGCCCCUUCCUGGGAAAGACUUGGGCAGAAUGGUCUUCACUCCUCCAUGCCCAGAGCCUGGCCCCCUGCCGUUACUCUAAGGGAUAACAAUGGCUUCUCUUGUACCCUGCCCAGGUGGCUGACGUGCCCAGCAUGGACACCACCUGCCACCCUCCCCCCUACCCGUGGGGGACACUCAGUCAGAGACCCAGCCUCAUAGGGGCUCAGUGUGGCAGAUGUGAACGAUGUCCCAGUUCAGAUCUCUUGGGCCUAUCUCUUUCUCUUGCCACCAUGGACCACAUGACAUGGGAUGCCCUCAGAGUUACUAUGCUUACACGUACACACACACACACACACACACACACACACACACACACACGUACCCACGCGUGCCUGCUCUCUAAGAGGACACAGGUGCAGGGAGCGGGUGACUGAGGAAGCCUUUGGACAGAGGCAGAUGGAAGCCAGUGGGGAGCCACUUCCCAUCUUCCUGGCAAUCUGGAGAGCUAUGUUCCUUGCUUCUUAUAAGUCCUCCAGGACCCAGCGACCAAUCACCCACAGCAGGGACCCUUCCACAACAAAACUCAUUACCCUCCCAAACCACACCGGCU